rnacentral:rRNA from 1 species
GAGGACCGAACCGACUAAUGUUGAAAAAUUAGCGGAUGACCUGUGGCUGGGGGUGAAAGGCCAAUCAAACCGGGAGAUAGCUGGUUCUCCCCGAAAGCUAUUUAGGUAGCGCCUCGUGAAUUCAUCUCCGGGGGUAGAGCACUGUUUCGGCUAGGGGGCCAUCCCGGCUUACCAACCCGAUGCAAACUGCGAAUACCGGAGAAUGUUAUCACGGGAGACACACGGCGGGUGCUAACGUCCGUCGUGAAGAGGGAAACAACCCAGACCGCCAGCUAAGGUCCCAAAGUCAUGGUUAAGUGGGAAACGAUGUGGGAAGGCCCAGACAGCCAGGAUGUUGGCUUAGAAGCAGCCAUCAUUUAAAGAAAGCGUAAUAGCUCACUGGUCGAGUCGGCCUGCGCGGAAGAUGUAACGGGGCUAAACCAUGCACCGAAGCUGCGGCAGCGAACGUAUCACCCAAGACAACUUUACGGAGUUAACGAUUGACGG